UAGGGAAUCUUCGGCAAUGGACGAAAGUCUGACCGAGCAACGUCGCGUGAGUGAAGAAGGUUUUCGGAUCGUAAAACUCUGUUGGUAGAGAAGAACGUUGGUGAGAGUGGAAAGCUCAUCAAGUGACGGUAACUACCCAGAAAGGGACGGCUAACUACGUGCCAC
rnacentral:rRNA from 1 species